GAGGAAAGCGGGGGGCGUGCUUAACACAUGCAAGUCGAACGGAAAGGCCCUGCUUUUGUGGGGUGCUCGAGUGGCGAACGGGUGAGUAACACGUGAGUAACCUGCCCUUGACUUUGGGAUAACUUCAGGAAACUGGGGCUAAUACCGGAUAGGAGCUCCUGCUGCAUGGUGGGGGUUGGAAAGUUUCGGCGGUUGGGGAUGGACUCGCGGCUUAUCAGCUUGUUGGUGGGGUAGUGGCUUACCAAGGCUUUGACGGGUAGCCGGCCUGAGAGGGUGACCGGCGACAUUGGGACUGAGAUACGGACCAGACUCCUACGGGAGGCAGCAGUGGGGAAUAUUGCACAAUGGGCGGAAGCCUGAGGCAGCAACGCCGCGUGCGGGAUGACGGCCUUCGGGUUGUAAACCGCUUUCGCCUGUGACGAAGCGUGAGUGACGGUAAUGGGUAAAGAAGCACCGGCUAACUACGUG
rnacentral:rRNA from 1 species